CCAUAGUCGAGAGGGGAACAGCCCAGAUCACCAGAUAAGGUCCCUAAAUCAUGAUUAAGUGUGAAAGGAUGUGGAGAUUCCAUAACAGCCGGGAGGUUGGCUUAGAAGCAGCCAUCCUUUAAAGAUAGCGUAACAGCUCACCGGUCUAAUAGAGUUUCUGCGCCUAAGAUGUAACGGGGCUCAAAUCAUGUACCGAAUCUGUGGGUGUAUAAAGUUUUCGAAUUUUAUACGCGGUAGCGGAACGUUCUGUAAGCCUGCGAAGGAAUACCCGUGAGGGAUUCUGGAGGUAUCAGAAGUGCGAAUGCUGACAUAAGUAACGAUUAACAGAGUGAAAAACUCUGUCGCCGAAAAUCCAAGGGUUCCUGCGCAAGGCUAAUCCGCGCAGGGUUAGUCGGCCCCUAAGACGAGGGCGAAAGCCGUAGUCGAUGGGAACCAGGUUAAUAUUCCUGGACCAGAUGGUAGUGACGGAUUUUGUAAAUUGUUAACUCUUAAUGGAUUGAGUUAGCUGUGAAAAAGUCCCAGGAAAUAGCUCCAUCAUAAGACCGUACCCGAAACCGACACAGGUGGAUUAUUAGAGUAUAAUUAGGCGCUUGAGAGAAUGAUGUUGAAGGAACUCGGCAAAAUGCCUCUGUAACUUCGGAAGAAAGAGGACCUAUUUUUGGGCAACCAUUAGUAGGUGGCACAAGCCAGGGAGAAGCGACUGUUUAUCAAAAACACAGGACUCUGCUAACACGUAAGUGGAUGUAUAGGGUCUGACGCCUGCCCGGUGCUGGAAGGUUAAUGCGAUGGGUGCAAGCUCAUUUCUGAAGCCCCAGUGAACGGCGGCCGUAACUAUAACGGUCCUAAGGUAGCGAAAUUCCUUGUCGGGUAAGUUCCGACCUGCAUGAAUGGCGUAACGAUUUCUCCGCUGUCUCCAACAUCAACUCAGUGAAAUUGAAUUCUCCGUGAAGAUGCGGAGUUCGCGUGGUUAGACGGAAAGACCCCGUGCACCUUUACUACAACUUUAUAUUGGUAUUAGAAAUGACAUGUUUAACUUAGGAGGGAGACUUUGAAGCGGUGGCGCCAGCUAUCGUGGAGUCGUCAGUGAAAUACCUCUCUUGUUAUUUUUGAUAUCUAACUGUCAGCCGUUAUCCG
rnacentral:rRNA from 1 species